rnacentral:rRNA from 1 species
AGUGAACGCUGGCGGUAGGCCUAACACAUGCAAGUCGAACGGCAGCACAGUAAGAGCUUGCGCUUACGGGUGGCGAGUGGCGGACGGGUGAGGAAUACAUCGGAAUCUACUUUUUCGAGGGGGAUAAAGUAGGGAAACUUACGCUAAUACCGCAUACGACCUACGGGUGAAAGCAGGGGAUCUUAGGACCUUGCGCGAGUGAAUGAGCCGAUGUCGGAUUAGCUAGUUGGCGGGGUAAAGGCCCACCAAGGCGACGAUCCGUAGCUGGUCUGAGAGGAUGAUCGGCCACACUGGAACUGAGACACGGUCCAGACUCCUACGGGAGGCAGCAGUGGGGAAUAUUGGACAAUGGGCGCAAGCCUGAUCCAGCCAUGCCGCGUGUGUGAAGAAGGCCUUCGGUUUGUAAAGCCCUUUUAUUGGGAAGGAAGGGCAGCAGGUUAAUCCCUUGCUGUUUUGACGUUACCAAAAGAAUAAGCACCGGCUAACUUCGUG